GACGAACGCUGGCGGCGUGCUUAACACAUGCAAGUCGAACGCUGAAGCUCAGCUUGCUGGGUGGAUGAGUGGCGAACGGGUGAGUAACACGUGAGUAACCUGCCCUCUUCUUUGGGAUAACGCCCGGAAACGGGUGCUAAUACUGGAUAUUCACUGAUUCUCGCAUGGGGGUUGGUGGAAAGGUUUUUUCUGGUGGGGGAUGGGCUCGCGGCCUAUCAGCUUGUUGGUGGGGUGAUGGCCUACCAAGGCUUUGACGGGUAGCCGGCCUGAGAGGGUGACCGGUCACAUUGGGACUGAGAUACGGCCCAGACUCCUACGGGAGGCAGCAGUGGGGAAUAUUGCACAAUGGGCGAAAGCCUGAUGCAGCGACGCCGCGUGAGGGAUGGAGGCCUUCGGGCUGUAAACCUCUUUCGCUCAUGGUCAAGCCGCAGCUUUGGGUUGUGGUGAGGGUAGUGGGUAAAGAAGCGCCGGCUAACUACGUG
rnacentral:rRNA from 1 species